rnacentral:rRNA from 1 species
GACGAACGCUGGCGGCGUGCCUAAUACAUGCAAGUCGAACGCUGAAGGAGGAGCUUGCUUCUCUGGAUGAGUUGCGAACGGGUGAGUAACGCGUAGGUAACCUGCCUGGUAGCGGGGGAUAACUAUUGGAAACGAUAGCUAAUACCGCAUAAGAGUAGAUGUUGCAUGACAUUUACUUAAAAGGUGCACUUGCAUCACUACCAGAUGGACCUGCGUUGUAUUAGCUAGUUGGUGAGGUAACGGCUCACCAAGGCAACGAUACAUAGCCGACCUGAGAGGGUGGUCGGCCACACUGGGACUGAGACACGGCCCAGAAGUCCUCGGGAAGCAGCAGGAGGGAAACUUCGGCAAUUGGCGGAAGUCUGACCGAGCAACGCCGCGGGAGGGGAGAAGGGUGUCGGAUCGGAAAGCUCGGUUGUAAGGGAAGAACGAGGGUGAGAGUGGAAAGUUCACACUGUGACGGUAUCUUACCAGAAAGGGACGGCUAACUACGUG